UACGUAGGGGGCAAGCGUUGUUCGGAUUUAUUGGGCGUAAAGAGCGUGUAGGCGGCCAAGCAGGUCCGCUGUGAAAACUCGAGGCUCAACCUCGAGACGUCGGUGGAAACCGUUUGGCUAGAGUCCGGAAGAGGAGAGUGGAAUUCCCGGUGUAGCGGUGAAAUGCGCAGAUAUCGGGAAGAACACCCGUGGCGAAGGCGGCUCUCUGGGACGGUACUGACGCUGAGACGCGAAAGCGUGGGGAGCGAACAGG
rnacentral:rRNA from 1 species